rnacentral:tRNA from 1 species
GCCACCUUAGCUCAGGGGGAGAGCGGGGCACUUGUAAUGCUCAGGCCAUCCGUUCAAAUCGGAUAGGUGGCU